rnacentral:lncRNA from 1 species
AUUUUUUUUUAACUUUUCGUCGUGACUUUUCCCCCCCGCCCUACAUUUUGAGGAGCCUACUGAACGCGCUAACAACAUGGAAUAACUUGGAGUUAUUUAGCCAUAAAUUAUGAACUUUGUUGAAAGAAACCACAUUUGUUGUGGACCUGGGAUUCUUGGAAGUGCCUUCUGAUGAAGAUAAUCAAAGAGAGGGAGCUGACCAAUGGGUUGAAAAUGUAGAUAUUGCCAGAUGUUCAAAAUGAACAAUACCUCAAAAGGCACAAACAUA